CCUAACACAUGCAAGUCGAACGGUAACAGGAAGAAGCUUGCUUCUUUGCUGACGAGUGGCGGACGGGUGAGUAAUGUCUGGGAAACUGCCUGAUGGAGGGGGAUAACUACUGGAAACGGUAGCUAAUACCGCAUAACGUCGCAAGACCAAAGAGGGGGACCUUCGGGCCUCUUGCCAUCGGAUGUGCCCAGAUGGGAUUAGCUAGUAGGUGGGGUAACGGCUCACCUAGGCGACGAUCCCUAGCUGGUCUGAGAGGAUGACCAGCCACACUGGAACUGAGACACGGUCCAGACUCCUACGGGAGGCAGCAGUGGGGAAUAUUGCACAAUGGGCGCAAGCCUGAUGCAGCCAUGCCGCGUGUAUGAAGAAGGCCCUCGGGUUGUAAAU
rnacentral:rRNA from 1 species